GAUGAACGCUGGCGGCGUGCCUAAUACAUGCAAGUCGAACGAACAGAUAAGGAGCUUGCUCCUUUGACGUUAGCGGCGGACGGGUGAGUAACACGUGGAUAACCUACCUAUAAGACUGGGAUAACUUCGGGAAACCGGAGCUAAUACCGGAUAACAUAUUGAACCGCAUGGUUCAAUAGUGAAAGGCGGCUUUGCUGUCACUUAUAGAUGGAUCCGCGCCGUAUUAGCUAGUUGGUAAGGUAACGGCUUACCAAGGCAACGAUACGUAGCCGACCUGAGAGGGUGAUCGGCCACACUGGAACUGAGACACGGUCCAGACUCCUACGGGAGGCAGCAGUAGGGAAUCUUCCGCAAAGGGCGAAAGCCUGACGGAGCAACGCCGCGUGAGUGAUGAAGGUCUUCGGAUCGUAAAACUCUGUUAUCAGGGAAGAACAAAUGUGUAAGUAACUGUGCACAUCUUGACGGUACCUGAUCAGAAAGCCACGGCUAACUACGUG
rnacentral:rRNA from 1 species